UGUCAAACCUUUCAGGAUAAAAAAGAGAAUGAAUAGGACCACUUGUUAGAAUUCUCAGAAUUCAAAAGUGUUAGAGAUACCCCAAGAGCAGACUGGGUGUUUUUCUUAGAUGUUGUCAUAGUAACAAAUGUGAAGUUUCUAUAUUUUUAUUGUAUUGAAUCUUGAUCUGAGUAUCACUGAAGCCUCUCCCCAUGUCUUCGUACUUUAUAUUUCUGAUAAAAAGUUUUUACUCCAGGGAGCAAACGAUCUGUGCAUGCGAGACAAGAAAACUUCACACUGUUCUCCAAGUGUAAUUGGUACCUAUGUAAGCCCCUUCCUAUCUGGUGCUUUACGAGUUCAGUAUGUUUGAGUCUGUCAGGGUGCUUGUCUGUGUGUGUGUGCGUGUGUGUAUGGUUUGGUAUAUUUAGAUAAGUUAUGUAUCUGUUUGGCUUGAGAAUUAUAGUAUUAUAUAUUUAUUAAAAAGUUCUAGUGCUUGUAUAUUUAUCUGUAGAAAUCAGCAUAAUGUAGCCAUUUUUAAGGAUGUUUGAAUUGUGUAAAAUGCUUGAAGGUUUUUCCUCCUCAGAAUAUAUAACAUGAUAAAGCAAAUGAUUUGCUAUGUUUAUCAAAAUUUCUUCAUAUUAACAAUAGAAAGCAAACUUACCAUUCUGAUUUUUUCAUUAUUUUUUUUUUAUCAGUUCAUGAUUCAAAUUUUUUACCAUGCUUAGAAUUUUUCCAUGUGAUUUUACCUAAUUUUAUUUAACAGAAAAGAUAUGUCUUACAAAACGUUGUCAUUCAUCAAUUGAACCUCAUUUGAUUUUAUUUAGCUAAUAUAUAUUUUUGUCUGAAUUUUACACUGCAUAUUAAAAUACGGUCAGCUUCAUUCUAUGGCAAAAAAACUGUGUUAUGUCACGAAGCUUUAUCAGUUCAAGACUGGUGAUUUUUAACAAUACUCGAUCGUCAAUACGGGAUUAGUUUAGAACUGUUAAUAAGAUUGCAGGGUUUUUUUUAAGAUAUAGAUAAAGAGCUUAUUGGUAACCUCUUCAGUAUGGCGUACCAACUGUACCUCAUUGUGGUAUGUCAUUGGAAGACUCCUGGGUUUGACUUUUAACGAUGCAAUGCUUUAUCUGACAAAAUGCAACUUCAGCAGAACUACUAGAUAUACACACGAGUUUUGACCACUUGUUAAACGAAGCAAAGACACGCGCAUUUGCCAGCAUUAGUUGCAGUGUGAGGAAGGGGAGAAAACCCUUGACUGUUCUACUUUCUGUUCGGCCUGUCAGCGCUUAUGUCCAACAAGAUAUAUUUAUAUGCUUUGUUGUUGUUCGGUAGUCCUGAAAUUUAAUCAUUUGUAUUGUUAAAGUAAAUAUAUGAAAUUCAUCCU
rnacentral:misc_RNA from 1 species